UUUCUGCCACCAUCAUGUCUGAAUAUGCUAACAAGAAGACUCGUGGCGCCUUCAUUGCUGCAGUUUUUGCAAUGCAAGGUUUUGGAAUUUUGGCUGGUGGAAUAUUUGCUAUAAUUAUAUCAUCUGCAUUUAAGGCCGGGUUUGAUGCUCCAUCUUACGAGGUUGAUCCAAUUCGCUCAACUGUCCCACAAGCUGACUACGUUUGGCGUAUAAUUGUAAUGGUUGGAGCGCUUCCCGCUGCACUUACCUACUACUGGAGGAUGAAGAUGCCUGAAACUGCCCGUUACACUGCACUUGUCGCCAAGAACGCAAAACAGGCUGCGACUGAUAUGUCAAGAGUUCUGCAGGUGGAUCUUGAGGCGGAAGAGCAGAAGGUCGAGCAACUGACCGAGGACAAGUCCAAUCAAUUUGGUCUGUUCACAAAAAAGUUCCUUCAUCGCCAUGGACUCCACUUGCUUGGAACAACAACCACAUGGUUCUUGCUUGACAUUGCAUUCUACAGCCAAAAUCUUUUCCAAAAGGAUAUAUUUAGCGCGAUCGGAUGGAUUCCCAAAGCAAAGACCAUGAAUGCCAUCGAUGAGGUUUAUAGAAUUGCAAGGGCGCAAACACUUAUCGCUCUAUGCAGUACUGUCCCAGGUUACUGGUUCACAGUGGCUUUUAUUGACAGGAUAGGAAGGUUUGCAAUCCAAUUGAUGGGUUUCUUCUUCAUGACAGUGUUCAUGUUUGCGUUGGCCAUUCCUUACAACCACUGGACCCACAAGGACAACCGAAUUGGAUUCGUGAUUAUAUACUCAUUGACCUUCUUCUUUGCAAACUUUGGACCUAAUGCCACCACAUUUGUUGUACCAGCCGAGAUCUUCCCUGCAAGGUUAAGGUCCACUUGCCACGGUAUAUCAGCAGCUUCUGGGAAGCUCGGAGCAAUUGUGGGUGCAUUCGGGUUCCUAUAUUUGUCUCAGAGCCCGCACAAGGACAAGACCGAUGCAGGGUACCCUACAGGUAUCGGUGUGAAGAAUUCACUCCUUGUCCUGGGUGUCGUCAACUUCUUCGGCAUAGUGUUUACUUUCUUGGUCCCUGAAUCAAAUGGAAAAUCCUUGGAGGAGAUGUCUGGUGAGAAUGAGACUGAUGAGGGGUCGGUGCCAAAUGUGGAGCAAAGUUCAUAUAACAGGACAGUACCGUUGGUUUAAAUUUUUUCUUUAUCCAGUUCUCUAUUACAGGUUAGCUAAACCCUUGAUAGAUUUCUCAAUAUACCUCUAUUGUUAUCGUUUGUCUUCUCCCCCUGCUCUGUCUUCCUCAGCCUUGUAAGUUACCGAGUAAAUCAGGUCUCUUUUAUGUCACUUCAACUUGCUGAGAUGUCAAAAGAGGUUUACAUUGUUGAAACGCUAUUGUGAUGAUGAGUUUUAGCUUUUGCAUUCCAAUCGAUUCUAACCACAUGGACAUAUCCUCCAUUUCCUUAGCUUAUUUUGAUUUCUUGCAUCUUUCUUGUUUUUUUCUGCGGUGUCCUCGAAAGUGAGGUGUGAAUGAUUCCAUACUUUAGCAGUUUAGCUGGACCACCGUUUUGAUAUAGACAUGCACUAGGGUUCAAAAGUCAAUUCCUAAUAUUUUCGCAGGUGGAAAAAAAGAACUAAGAAAGAAAACUCAUUCCGAGAAUUAGGGGCGUUUCAUAAGACCUUUCUUUAAAUUUUAAUUUUCUUUAAAAAAUAUUUUUUUAAUAUAAUUUUUUUUAAAAAUAAAACAUUUAAAAAACAAUCAUCAUCCCUCUUAAAUUAGCAUUUUAUUUUUCCAAGUAAUUGCCAUCACCUACUUGUACACCCCCGAUUUCUUUGCCAUCACCUACUUGUACACCCCCAUUUUUUUGACUUUGAAAUUUGAUCAACCUAUCUAUGCAAGAGUAAUUGCGAGGCAAUGAUCCAAACCUUUACAGGGUGACCACUUGAACGAAAACUCUGAAGACCCUUUAAUUCCUCCCUGGAACACGUCAAUUUCUUUCUCCAAACUACUACCUCUUUGCCUCAUGAGGAGUUAACGAAACUUCGUUUUACUAAAGUUGCUUCCAUGUGUGUGUGUUCGUGUUGAAAAAGACUUUCCCUAUAUUUACCGACGACUUAACAGUUAAGAGCCAGCCAGCCAGCAGCAUCUGAGCAUCAAUUAUGGCACAAGUACCAGGAAUUACGUGUGAAUCGUGAACCACCUUCACCAUUUAAGAACCUUUGACUCAUUUCCAGAAUCUAACAAGACAAGCUACAUAGCUUUCAGUAGCCGAAAACUCUUAAUGAUGACUUGCAAAAGGUUCAUACUUGCCUAACCUGUUAGGUAGUUUGAUUCUUUCAUGUUAUAAAUCUGACCUGAACUCUUUAAAAUGCACUUGGAAUUCUCAGAAACAAAGUCUAAAUGAAAUGGAAAUGACUCCAUGGUCAUGUGGAAUUUAGGAGGCAUAUUUUUAUUUAUUUAUUUAUUAUUAUUUGAGAACAUUCCCACAUAAUUAUAAUUGCUAUUUCGAAGAAAUUUAAAAAUCUUAAUUUGAUAAUUAUAAAAUUGAUGUAAUUUAAAUGAUGUAGUGCAAUAGAACUAACAUAUGGAAAUAAAAAUCUUAAUUGUCAACUUUAAUUGCACGUGUAAUCUGUCCCUUGACGUUAAUGGGUGAAAAUAUUGGCAUCAAUGUCACUAAUUAAAAAUUAAAAUACAAAUACAUACAUAAUCGCCAUGAAACUACGCCUUAGUUUUCCUUUCGCAUAAAUUUCAAGCCACAAAAUCUCCCUAUGAACUGCCCACAAUCCAGAGUCUUGAAACACAAAUAGUAUCAAAUCUAUGGAAUGGAAUGGAAUUAGUUCUUUCAUGUCCUUUUUAAUAUAAUUCAUCAUUUUUUUAACCUAAACCUUCCAAAAUAAAUGAAUAGUUAACAUUUUAGUAGUUAAUAUUUACUUAAUUAAACAUUAAAAUUAAGCGUUUUGAAUUAACACUUACCUUUUAUAUACAAUUUUUAAUUUUUUAAUAGAUAUCUCAAGCAUUAAAAAUUAAGCGUUUUGAAUUAACACUUACCUUUUAUAUACAAUUUUUAAUUUUUUAAUAGAUAUCUCAAGCAUUAAAAAUCUUAGAAAUACUCAUAUUAUCUGAAUAAUUGACAAUAUAAACAUUACUAUUGAUUAUUUUUUUCAGUAUAUUGUAAGGUCCAUACUUUUUACCUAAUUAACACUUACCUUUUUCUUAGAAUCUAGAAAUGAUAAAGCUUCUUUUUUUUUGUCAUUAAUUCGAUAAGAAACAAGAGAUCAAGUCUUAUGGUUAUAACUUGUAUAUAGUUUUCAUGAAUUAAGAAUUUGAACAGCCCCUUACAUUAAUUAAUUGAUAUUAUUUUUAAAAAAUAAUUUAAAAAACGCACAUUCAUUUGUGUACCAAAAAAUAAAUUCUCUAUAUUCAAUUCAUAAUUGUAUCGAGUCUAUGGCUAUGCAACUUUAUUCUCUUUCUCUUCUGUAAAUUGAUUGGGAUGAUGUAAGAGGCUAACAGAACAAUGAUAUAAACAAAUAAAUGUGUUUGUUUUCUAGAAAGUAAUUUUUGAAAAAUCACUUUUCAAACUUUCAUGUGUUUGUUUGUUAUUAAAAAGAUUGGUCAAUGGAAAACACUUUCUCGUCAAAGGAAAAUUUAACUUAAUUUUCAGGAAAGUGUUUUUUUUUUAUUUUGGGCGGAAAACACUUUCCAGAAGUUGUGAAUAAUUUAAAAAUAUCAUAUUAUUUGCUGAUUAUAUCAAAUUUGGUCCUCAAACUUUUGAUUGCUAUAUAUUUUAUUUGAAUCUUUUUUUUUUCAAAUUCAUCCCUUAAAAUUUGAUUUUUUUUAUUAACUUUGGUCCUUAUUUUUAUGAUUGUUAUUUACUUUUCUCUUAUCAUUUUUUUAAAUUGAAUUUUUUUAUCUAUAAAAUUUGAUCCUCAUUAUUUUGAUUGUUACUUAUUUUAUUUAAAAUAAUUUAUAAAAUUGUAAUUAUUAUUAUUUUAAUUUCAUCAUCUUUCAAUUUUUUUAUCUGGUAGAUUUGAUCUCUAUUAUUUUGAUUAUUAUUUAUUUUAUUUGAGAUAAUUUAUGAAAUUAGAUUUUUUUCAAUUCCAUUCUCAUUCAACUUUUUAAUUUGUAAGAUUUGUUCCUUAUUAUUUUAAUAAACUUGAAAAAAAAACAUUAAUAAUCUAUUUUCCAGCUCAUUUUCUAUAACAUAACCAAACACUGGAAAAUAUUUUCCAACUUACUUUCUAUGACACUACCAAACAUCGGAAAAUAAUUUACUUUUCUGGAAUUCAUUUUAUAAGGAAACCACUUUCCAAAAAAUAACUACUUUCCUGCAAACAAAUGGGGCAAAAAAAAAAGAAAUUGUUUUGUUGAUUCUGUGUGUGAGUGUUUAUAUAUAUACGAGAUGACAUGUCCGUGCGUUGCCGCGGGCUUAUAAAACAAACGCACUUGGUAGUGUUAUAAUUGUAAACCAGCAUUAGAUAAGUAAUAGAAACUAAAGGUAUGAUGGAGCAAAUAUUUCAUGAUGGAAAAAAAAAGGUUGUGUUGGUGAUCAAAAACUUAGAGACUGAACAAAAUGAUUUGUAGCAAUUCAUAGUGUUUUGUAAGGAAAGAUACAGUGUUUUUGCUACAUCAUUUAGCUUUUCUGUUAAUAACAAGAAAAAAAAUUACAAAGCUAAAUUCUCUAUCAACUUAAUAUUAAAAAAAAAACCAACAAAGAUAAUUUUGGAAGGAAAAAAACCCAUGAGAAAAAAUGUUGUAGCAAUUGACAAUGUUUUGUGAAGAAAAAUACAGUGUUUUCCCCAAUAAAAUAAAAUAAAAAACUAUUUAAAGAAAUACUGUAGCAAUCCAUAGUGUUUUGUGAGAAAAACUACAACGCUUUUCCCAUAUGAUUUAGCUUUAUUGUAAUUAUAAUUCUUAACCAACUCAAUAUUUUAAAAAAAAAUCGACAAAGAUAAUUUUAAAAAAAUCACAAAAAAAUCAUAUGGGAAAACACUACAACAAUUGACAGUGUUUUAAAGAAAAAAAUUACAAAGCUAAAUUCUUAAUCAGCUAAAUAUUAAAAAAAAAUCGACAGAGAUAAUUUUAGAAAAAAAAUAAUAAAAAAAGGGGAGGAAUCAUGUUGGAAACACUGUAGCAAUUCAUAGUGUUUUGUGAUGAAAGCUACAAUGCUUCCCCACAUGAUUUAGCCUUAUUUGUAAUUGUAAUUCUCAAACAGCUCAAUAUUAAAAAAAUAAAAUUGAUAAAGGUAAUUUUGAAAAAAAUUAUAAGAAAAAAAAACCAUGUGGAGAGCCACUGUAGCAAUCCACAAUGUUUUGUAAGGAAAGCUACAGUGAUUUCCCAACAUGAUUAAGCUUUAUUACAAAGUUAAAUUCUAACCAACUCAAUAUUAAAAAAAUAAAAUCGACGAAGAUAAUUUUGAAAAAAAAUAUUACAAAAAAUGAAAACACAAAAGAAACUGGGAAAAAACCAUGUGACGAAAAACUGUAUCAAUCCAUAGUGUUUUGUGAGGAAAAACUUGUAUUUACUUGUAAUUGCAAUUCUUAACCAACUUAAUAUUUAAAAAAUAAAAUUGACACAGACAAUUUUAGAAAAAAAACCAUGUGGAAAAAAACAUUGUAGUAAUCCAUAGUAAUCUGCGAGGAAAGUUACAGUGAUUUCCUCACAUAUUGUAACUGUAACUUUUAACCAGCUAAAUAUUAAAAAAUAAAAUAAAAAAAGAUAAUUUAGGAGAAAAUCAUAAAAAAACAAAAAAAAACAACCAUGCGGAGAAACAUUGUAUCAAUCAAUAAUGUUUUAAAGAAAAAAUAUUACCAAACUAAAUUCUCAAUCAGCUCAAUAUUAAAAAAAAUUGACAAAUAUAAUUUUGAAAAAUAAAAAAAUAAAAUAGAAAAACUAUGUAGGAAAAAACCGCAGGAAUCCACAGUAUUUCAAAGAGAAAAAAUUACAUAGUGAAAUUUUUAAUCAGCUCAAUAUUUAAAAAGCAAAAUCAACAAAAAUAAAGAGGAGAAAGUUAGGAAAAAAAUAACAAAAAAAAAAGAAGAGAAAUACACUGUGAAUUACUGUUGUUGUAAUCCACGGUGUUUUGUAUGUGGGGUAACAGUGAUUCCCAACACCAUUUAGAUAUUAAUUAAUAUAUAUAUUACAUUCAAAUUAAGGAUAGUCACAUCAUAAACAAUAAUAGCACAUGUUACAUGAUGGCCCUCUUUUUUGGUGGGGAGGCCCGUUCUAGUUGCUUGUCUGUGUAGUUACAGGUAAGAAGUGCAACGAGUGAUUUUUAUUUUUAUUUUGUUAUAAUUUGUUUUUUUAAUUGUUUUUUAUAUAAAAAAAUAUCAAAUUGAUAUUUUUAUAUGUUUUUUAAUAAAUUUAAUAUGUUAAUGAUAAAAAAAAAUUUAAAAAGUUAUAAUAUAGUUUCAAUUAAAAAGUAUUAUCCACAAAAUUAUCAAGAAGACACUGAUAAUAAUCAAAUUACAGCAAACAAAAAUUGGAACCAAAUUAUUAAUCAUUGUCCAUCCCUUACCUGCCAGACCAUUUUUAAGAGAUAUGUCCAUACUGUUGACCAACCACAUGGGAUGACUAGAAUGUUUCAUUGUCACCCUCCUACUCUCACCAGGGCUGUUGCUUUGACUCGUGCAAGCUAGGAGAAAGAGAAGUCAUGGCUAUGGACCUCUGUUCAUGGUGAUUGUCUCAACAUACUUCGAGUGGUUGAUAAUUUUAAUUUAGUUAUAGAAAAAAAAUUCAACUUAACUGAAAUCUAUAUAACUUGAAAUAAGGGAACCAAACCUCUACAAUUGCUCAACACUCUUGUGACUUUCACUAAAAUUAAUAAACCACAAAUUCUAUAAUAAUAAUAAUAAUAAUAAUAAUAAUUGAAGAAGAAGAAGAAGAAGACGACUUUUUUUAGUUCGAAUAAUAGUUGUAGCCAACGAAAUAGAGGUAAGGUUAUCAUUGUAGGUGUAAAAGGGAUGAACAUAAACGCAACGUAAAUGAAAAAGGUUAUUGACCGAGGAAAGAGGGCGGGCGAAAAGAGGGGGGGAAUAUGCCCGUGGUAUAUUUGCCUGCCUUUGAUGCUUUAAGGGGUGCUCGUCGCUUAUAUAUUCAAGAAACACCAUCUUUCUUGAACCAAACGAGCUUCUUUAUCAAUUUCUUUCUUUCUAGCUUCUUCUCUCCCUCUUUUUUGUCCCUUUUUCUCACAAAACUCUGGUGAAGAGUUUUGCAGAGAAAAGAGAGAGCAAGGAAAGGCAUUUUCCUACAUAAGCUAGGUAGUCAUGGCCAGGGAAUUACAGGUUCUCAAUGCGCUUGAUGUGGCAAAAACACAAUGGUAUCACUUCACUGCAAUUAUUAUUGCUGGCAUGGGAUUCUUCACCGAUGCCUAUGACCUCUUCUGCAUAUCCCUUGUCACCAAAUUGCUUGGCCGCAUAUAUUACCAUGUUGAUGGAGCAGAGAAGCCUGGUAUUUUGCCUCCCAAUGUAUCGGCAGCUGUUAAUGGUGUGGCGUUCUGUGGAACUCUUUCGGGCCAGCUCUUCUUUGGCUGGCUUGGUGACAAAAUGGGAAGGAAGAAAGUGUAUGGUAUGACUCUUAUGCUCAUGGUCAUAUGUUCGAUUGCCUCGGGUCUUUCUUUUAGCCGUGAUGCUAAGGCUGUCAUGUCGACCCUUUGCUUCUUUCGUUUCUGGCUUGGGUUUGGUAUUGGAGGUGACUAUCCACUUUCUGCCACCAUCAUGUCUGAAUAUGCUAACAAGAAGACUCGUGGCGCCUUCAUUGCUGCAGUUUUUGCUAUGCAAGGUUUUGGAAUUUUGACAGGUGGGAUAUUUGCUAUAAUUAUAUCAUCUGCAUUUAAGGCCAGGUUUGAUGCUCCAGCUUACCAGGUUGAUGCACUUGCCUCAACUGUUCCACAAGCUGACUACGUUUGGCGUAUAAUUCUAAUGGUUGGAGCGCUUCCCGCUGCACUUACCUACUACUGGAGGAUGAAGAUGCCUGAAACUGCCCGUUACACUGCACUUGUCGCCAAGAAUGCAAAACAGGCUGCGACUGAUAUGUCAAGAGUUCUGCAGGUGGAUCUUGAGGCGGAAGAGCAGAAGGUCGAGCAACUGACCGAGGACAAGUCCAAUCAAU
rnacentral:lncRNA from 1 species